CGCCCGUCGCUCCUACCGAUUGGGUGUGCUGGUGAAGCGUUCGGACUGGUGCCUGCAGCGGUUCGCCGCCCAGGGCAACCGGGAAGUUCGUUAAACCCUCCCACCUAGAGGAAGGAGAAGUCGUAACAAGGUUUCC
rnacentral:rRNA from 1 species